AUUGAACGCUGGCGGCAGGCCUAACACAUGCAAGUCGAGCGGAGCGGCGGACGGGUGAGUAAUGCCUAGGAAGCUGCCUGGUAGUGAGGGAUAACGUCCGGAAACGGGCGCUAAUACCACAUAAUAUCAGAUGAACCUAGGUCGGAUUAGCUGGUUGGUGGGGUAAAGGCCUACCAAGGCGACGAUCCGUAACUGGGCUGAGUGGAUGAUCAGUCACACUGGAACUGAGACACGGUCCAGACUCCUACGGGAGGCAGCAGUGGGGAAUAUUGGACAAUGUGCGAAAGCCUGAUCCAGCCAUGCCGCGUGUGUGAAGAAGGUCUUCGGAUUGUAAAGCACUUUAAGUUGGGAGGCGUUACCAACAGAAUAAGCACCGGCUAACUCCGUGCCAGCAGCCGCGGUAAUUC
rnacentral:rRNA from 1 species